rnacentral:rRNA from 1 species
UACGAAGGGGGCGAGCGUUGUUCGGAAUUACUGGGCGUAAAGGGCGCGUAGGCGGCCUCCGCAAGUCAGCUGUGAAAUCUCCGAGCUUAACUCGGAAAGGUCAACUGAUACUGCGGGGCUAGAGUGCGGAAGGGGCAACUGGAAUUCUUGGUGUAGCGGUGAAAUGCGUAGAUAUCAAGAGGAACACCUGCGGCGAAGGCGGGUUGCUGGGCCGACACUGACGCUGAGGCGCGAAAGCUAGGGGAGCGAACGGG